AUUUUUUCGGUGUUAGGCACAAGAAGAUUUGGGCUUCUAGGAGAGCAGGGCUCAAAAAAUA
rnacentral:tRNA from 1 species